rnacentral:rRNA from 1 species
CAGCAGCCACGGUAAUACGUAGGUGGCAAGCGUUGUCCGGAAUUAUUGGGCGUAAAGGGCUCGCAGGCGGUUUCUUAAGUCUGAUGUGAAAGCCCCCGGCUCAACCGGGGAGGGUCAUUGGAAACUGAGAAACUUGAGUGCAGAAGAGGAGAGUGGAAUUCCACGUGUAGCGGUGAAAUGCGUAGAGAUGUGGAGGAACACCAGUGGCGAAGGCGACUCUCUGGUCUGUAACUGACGCUGAGGAGCGAAAGCGUGGGGAGCGAACAGGAUUAGAUACCCCUGUAGUCCCUGUCUCUUAUAC